rnacentral:ncRNA from 2 species
UACUUGGUUGAUCCUGCCAAGGAAGCACACUUAGGUCAUAGAUUAAGCCAUGCAAGUGUUAGUUCAGGUAACGAAACUGCGAAUAGCUCAUUAAUACGCUCAGAAUCUAUUUGGCGGCGACCAACAGGUCUUAAAUGGAUAGCAGCAGCAACUCUGGUGCUAAUACAUGCGAUUGUUUCUCCAGAUGUGAAUUAUGGAGGAAAAGUUGACCUCAUCAGAGGCACGCCAUUCGACUGAGUGACCUAUCAGCUUGUACUUAGGGUCUUUACCUAGGUAGGCUAUCACGGGUAACGGGCGGUUACCGUCGGACUGCCGGAGAAGGCGCCUGAGAGAUAGCGACUAUAUCCACGGGUAGCAGCAGGCGCGAAACUUUCCCACUCGAGACUUUCGGAGGAGGUAAUGACCAGUUCCAUUGGUGCCUUUUGGUACUGUGGAUAGGGGUACGGUUUUCCACCGUACCGAAACCUAGCAGAGGGCCAGUCUGGUGCCAGCAGCUGCGGUAAUUCCAGCUCUGCGAGUUUGCUCCCAUAUUGUUGCAGUUAAAACGCCCGUAGUCUGAAUUGGCCAGCAAUGGUCGUACGUAUUUUUACGUUCACUGUGAACAAAUCAGGACGCUUAGAGUAUGGCCACAUGAAUGACUCAGCGCAGUAUGAAGUCUUUGUUUUCUUCCGAAAACCAAGCUCAAAUGAGAGCCAUCGGGGGUAGAUCUAUCUCAUGACGAGUGGUGG